rnacentral:rRNA from 1 species
GACGAACGCUGGCGGCGUGCCUAAUACAUGCAAGUUGAGCGCUGAAGGUUGGUACUUGUACCAACUGGAUGAGCAGCGAACGGGUGAGUAACGCGUGGGGAAUCUGCCUUUGAGCGGGGGACAACAUUUGGAAACGAAUGCUAAUACCGCAUAAAAACUUUAAACACAAGUUUUAAGUUUGAAAGAUGCAAUUGCAUCACUCAAAGAUGAUCCCGCGUUGUAUUAGCUAGUUGGUGAGGUAAAGGCUCACCAAGGCGAUGAUACAUAGCCGACCUGAGAGGGUGAGCGGCCAGAGUGGGACUAAGACACGGCCCAAACGCCGACGGGAGGCAGCAGGAGGGAUGUUUGGGCAAGGGACGAAAGUUUGACCAAGCAACGCCGUGGGAGGGAAGAAGGGUGUCGGAUCGAAACACACGGAGGGUAGAGAAGAACGUUGGUGAGAGUGGAAAGCUCAGCAAGUGACGGGAACGACACAGAAAGGGAAGGCUAACUACGUG